GAUGAACGCUGGCGGCGUGCCUAAUACAUGCAAGUCGAGCGAACAGAUGAGGAGCUUGCUCCUCUGACGUUAGCGGCGGACGGGUGAGUAACACGUGGAUAACCUACCUAUAAGACUGGGAUAACUUCGGGAAACCGGAGCUAAUACCGGAUAAUAUAUUGAACCGCAUGGUUCAAUAGUGAAAGACGGUUUUGCUGUCACUUAUAGAUGGAUCCGCGCCGCAUUAGCUAGUUGGUAAGGUAACGGCUUACCAAGGCAACGAUGCGUAGCCGACCUGAGAGGGUGAUCGGCCACACUGGAACUGAGACACGGUCCAGACCCCUACGGGAGGCAGCAGGAGGGAAACUUCCGCAAUGGGCGAAAGCCUGACGGAGCAACGCCGCGUGAGUGAUGAAGGUCUUCGGAUCGUAAAACUCUGUUAUUAGGGAAGAACAAAUGUGUAAGUAACUAUGCACGUCUUGACGGUACCUAAUCAGAAAGCCACGGCUAACUACGUG
rnacentral:rRNA from 1 species